rnacentral:ncRNA from 2 species
AAUUUCAUAGGCGAUGGAGUUCGCCUGUACAUGACUAUCGUGUUGAUGACUCCUACCUUUUA